ensembl:lncRNA
GCCCGCCAGGCUCAUCUGUCCUUGGAAUUCUCCAGGCAAGAAUGGAGCAGGUAGCCAUUCUCUUCUCCACGAGAUCGUCCUGAACCAAAGAUCUAACCUGGACCUCCUGCAUUGCAGAGUGGUAAUACUCUGCAACAAACCUGUUUACUUUUAAGAAUCAUUUAUUUCUUUAACUAUUGGAGAAAUAAAGCAAGAUAAAGAAGAAAAAGAAAUAUAAGAAUACAAGACUAAUCUUAAAAAAAUGUGCAGACUUUCAGCACCAUCUCGAAACAAAAUAUUCCCUCCAUGACAAUGUUCACUGAACCACUAAUUUUCUCUUGAUCAAAACGUGAGUAAAAUGUGUAACUUCCUAUAAGUCACUUUUGGUUCAACGGCAAAUAGCAGCUAAUUGCACAAUUGAGUGCUGACUUAUUUUCUUUCCAUAUUAUUAUUUACAGAACCAGUACAAAGUAGUCUGUUGCUGAUUAGAAAGGAAAUUUUAUCACAGUUUCUCAGAAUGACUUUUAUUUUGAUGUAUGUUUUUUAAUGAACCUAAUUUAUGUGAAGGUUGUUCUGUUAAAAGAAAAGUUCACAAAAAUAUCAUGCAUGAUUGAUCUCAUGACUGCACCUCAAUCCAAAGACAACACACAACAGCAGUCAAACAUACAUUUUAUGGGCUUUUGUCUGUUUUGCAAUAACACCAGAAAACAUUCUUUAAUUAAAAUUUAAAACUGUAACUGAUUAAUUUUCUGUGUAAACAAUCCGUGUCAACAUGGAAUGUCAGCAUUUUAAGGCUGUGUGAGGAUAAAUUUUAUUUUCUUCACAAGGGCCUUCUGGGAAGAACUUUGGCACAGCAGACGGUGAGAAUGUGACCUAGAGGAGAAGGGUUUGGAGCCCUAGCUCAUUCUGUAACUCCACUCCUGUCCACUUAGUUGAGGCCCAGUUAGGGCCCGAGAAAACGUCCUAAACCAUUUGAUAGUGUUGGCAAGGGUCCGGUAGUCAGUCGCUCCAUAGCUCGUCAUUUACUAGCUGCAAACGGCCAAAGGGUUCCAAAUGUGCCAUCCAGUCGCUGGACCUGUUUCUGCCUCAUCCAUGCCGUGAAGGAGACAUUCCCAGUAAUCUGGGCAUGAACACGGCUGUGCAGAAUUUAGACUGAGCACUCCCGUUUGGUUUCUGUUGUUACCCAUAAUCCCCAAUUUUUUCAGGAACCAGAAAGCAACCUCACUUCUCAGCCACUUUCUGAUUUUCCUUUUCUUUCUUAAAUACAGAGGCAGAGUUUAAAAAUAUUACUUAAAAUAAUCUUGAGCGACUUUUCAAGGAAAUAUGGAAAUACAUUGCCAGGAAAACGGGGGAGUACGUUCAAAUGAAAGGAUUGAAAACUUCAGCAUAGACAUGCAUAUAAAACUUUAAAUAAAAAUGCUCAUAAUCAAGUUAUUUUUAUUAGACAUUUAUAGUCUUGCCAAUAAUAAAUUACAGUGACCUCAGCUCUUCUAGAGUCUAGGAAAAGAUCCAGGAUUGAAAUCCUCUGAGGUGACGAGCUGGGUUUUGCAUUUCCAAUAUGGUUCAACUCUUUUGGAUAAAUUUUACAUCCUUUGCUUACUUACCCAGACCCAUUCGUCAUGACGAAUACCCUUCUUGGGCAAGGGCAGAGGAUGAACUACUCGAAGUAAAUGCUUUCACACUUCGGAUCCCUAUUUCUCUCCCAGGGAACUUAUUUCACUUAUACUUAAGCAAUGAAGGUUUCUAAAAGUUCCCAUGCAAAUAUAUAUAUAUGUAUUUGGCCAUCCUGCAGGACUUGCGGGAUCUUAGUUCCCCAACCAGAAAUUGAACCUUCUGGUUGGGUUGCAAACCACUUCAGUUGCAAACUUCAGUUGAAUCUGUGUUACCUUCCAAUGGAAACUCAGACUUUUAACCACUGGACCACCAGGAAAUUCCCCAAAUUAAUCAUAUUGAUG